AUCUAUUUAUAAAUUAACAUCGCAAAAUUACUAAAUAAAUCUAGAAUCAGAAGAACACACUGCGGUGAACGAUUGAAAAGUUUUACCAAAUAAAAUUCUACAUUUUUAUCUUAAAAAUUAACCAGUCUACUUAGAAAGGGGGACAAUAUUUAAUCAAACUUUUAGUAACUGACAAAAUCUCGGCUAUAUAUAUAGAGAGAGGAGAGAGAAGCAGACCUUAUUCAAGUCACUGGCCAAGAGACAAGCUUCACUUCGAAACGGCCGCUUUUAUACCACCGUUGACCAAUCAAAUUAAUUAUUCAAAUUUAUUUUCCUUAACCCAUAAUUAGCCAAUGAAAAUCGCGGUAUCAGACAUCAUUCGGAAUCAGUGCCAAAAUGGAUGACAUAAUAACAUUUGAAGAUUUCCAAAAUGAAAUAUCGGAACUAUCUACUUAAAAACACAAUUUACACCCAAAAAUAUGUAAGACAAAGUUAAACUAGAUGGUAAGUGACAACGUCUCUCCCUCUUAUGUGAACACGAACUAUAAAAUUUAAAUUAUAUACGAAAAACCGGCAAAAGUAAUUUUUACAGGCAAUUUUAUCAAAACAAUUAAUUUGUAUAAUCCAAUUCCGCUACACUCCUCCCCACUUAGAUCAAAUUAUCUGUUAUAAAAUUAAAGAUAAUUUUA
rnacentral:lncRNA from 1 species